CAGUCGCCGCGGGAAUACGUAGGGUGCAAGCGUUAAUCGGAAUUACUGGGCGUAAAGCGUGCGCAGGCGGUUCGCUAAGACAGGUGUGAAAUCCCCGGGCUUAACCUGGGAACUGCAUUUGUGACUGGCGGGCUAGAGUAUGGCAGAGGGGGGUAGAAUUCCACGUGUAGCAGUGAAAUGCGUAGAGAUGUGGAGGAAUACCGAUGGCGAAGGCAGCCCCCUGGGCCGAUACUGACGCUCAUGCACGAAAGCGUGGGGAGCAAACAGGAUUAGAUACCCCCGUAGUCCCUGUCUCUUAUAC
rnacentral:rRNA from 1 species